AGGACUGCAGAAACUGACGAGCAGGGCAGUGGUUACCUCCUCUGACUCAUCCUUUCUCAGCAGACCUCCUGACUCAGUAGGUACCAAGACACUGGGUAAGUAUUUGUUAUAAUUUCUACUAGACUCACCUCUCCUGGCCCCCAGAAUCAUCAUCCUUUGCUCAGAACCAUCUGAGAGGAAAUUUAACCUGUGAACUUCUGAAAGGCAGCCCAGCACCCAGGUCUGAGGUCACGUGUCACAAGAGAGGACCUCCCAACCUCCUAUAUUUGUGAGUCAGUCUCAAACUGUGACUCUCCCCUACCCAUAGAUGAUUAAAGCAAGCCAUUUGCCUUAUUCUCCAUGAGACAUCUAAGCAACCAGGAUUUUGAAUAUAGUUCCCUGUGCCAUACCCCUUUGGUAACCACAAGUUUGUUUUCUAUGUCUGUGAGUUGAUUUCAAUUUCAUAAAUAAAUUCAUUUGUGUCAUAUUUUAGAUUCCAUUCCACAUAUAAGUGAUAUCACAUGGUAUUUGUCUUUUUCUGACUUACUUCACUAAGUAUGAUAAUCUCUAGGUCCACCCAUGUUGCUGCAAAUGGCAUUAUUUCAUUCUUUUUCAUGGCUGAAUAACAUUCCAUUGUGUGUAUGUACGCAUCUUCUUUAUCCAUUCAUCGCUAACACUUUUUUUUUCUUUUUAUGGCCACACCUGCAGCAUAUGGAAGCUCCCAGGCUAGGAGCCAAAUCGGAGCUGCAGCUGCCAGCCUAUGCCACAGUCACAGCAACUCCAGAUCCAAGCCACAUCUGCAACCUUCACUCCAGGCAGCAAUGCCAGAUCCUUAAACCAGUGAGCGAGGCCAGGGAUUGAACAUCCUAGGGACUAUAUGAUAGUCAAAGAAUGAAAAAUUUAAAGGCUAUCUUAUAAAAAGAUACUUGUAAUGUUAAACAAAAAAGAUGAUACAAACUAUAAGUACAUAUAACGAAAUAGGUUGGAAUUUGGAGUUGAUCUGUUACCCAUUCUAACUUUCUGAUUAGCAUUUUUGUUCAGAACUUUAGAUUUUCACUAAGAGAUAACUGAAGUGUAGUGGGAGAUGUCUGUACGUCUGCAACCUGCACCACAGCUCACGGCAACACGGGAUCCCUCCCCACUGAGCAAGGCCAGGGAUGGAACCCACAUCCUCAUGGAUACUAGUCAGGUUCGUAGUCCAGUGAGUCACAUUGGGAACUCUCAAAUAGAGCUUUUGUUAUCAUUUAAUACGAUGUAAAUGUUUGCCAUAGCUGUAAAUAUUUACAGAUAUAAUACUUUCAUGUAGUUUAAUGUGUAUGUAAUUUCUUAGAACAUUUUCCUUAUGUUUAUUAAACAUUUUUUAAUAUUACCUGUUAGUAUGACUGUUCUAUAUUUAAAGAUGAGUCAGAUUUUUUUUUUAAUUUAUUGCAGUCUUAUCAAUUUUACUGCAAAUACUUUUUCAGCCUAAUGAUAGCAUUUUAAUUUGGUUUUGAUGUUUAGACAAUUAGCUUUUAAUUUAUGAGUAUUAAAUCUGUGAAUAAUUGUAUUCAUAAUCUUUCCACUUCUUUCAUGGUUUCAAAUUUCUUCCACAUGUGUGAAAAAUUAAAGAUUUAUUUCUGCUUCUUCCACAGUUUUUUACUUCACUUUUUUAUUAUAUUAUUUGAUGGCUUUUUAAAAUAAUUCCUUUUCUAUUCAUAAAAUGACUGCACUUUCAAUUUAUAAAAUUUAGAAGAUAUAAUUACUAUAAAAAUCUCUAUAAUCUCACACAUAGAGAUGGCCAUUGCUAACAUUUUCCUGUGUUUUUUAAUAAUUUUUUAUAUUUUUAAUAAAAUUGUUUGUUUUAUUUACGUAUAUAUGUACAUGUAGUUUGUAUCAUCUUUUUUGUUUAACAUUACAAGUAUCUUUUUAUGUUAUAAGAUAGCCUUUAAAUUUUUCAUUCAUUGACUUUAUCAUAUAGUCCCUAGGAUGAAAUAUUAUAACAACUUUCCAGUUAUAGGACAUUCCUACAAAUACGACUAAAAAAAAAAAUACUUGUAUGUAAAUCUUUGUCUCCUUAUCUAUCUUUCCCCAGGGAGAUGCCAAGAUAUGGAAUAUGUAAGAUUUGAACUUUUUAGAGGUUUCCAAUAUCACUUUUGAGAAGAGCUGAAUUAUUUUAAAUUUAGGUCAGAAUCUGUGAUGGGCCUUCCUUACCACACUCUCCCAAAAUCAAGUGGUUUGUUUUUUUUUUAAUAUCUUUGCCAAUAUAACAGAAAAAGAAAGUAUCAUUUCAUUUUAAUUUGCAUUGCUUGGUUACUAACGCCGUAGAAUAUUUUUGCAUCCAAAUCUCGAUCUGUCUGGAAUUUAUUUUGGUGUUUGCAGUCAGGAGCAGCUCUGACUUGAUUUUCUCACAAAGAAUCCAUACUACUUGAAAGAUUUCAUCCAUUUCCCAAUGUGUGAUGUGCCCUUGUUUAUACACUAAGCGCUUACGUAGAUGUGAGCUUAAAGACUAGCCAUUCAGUCUAGCACUAAUAGGUCUACUGGUAUGAUUAUUGUAGUUUUAUACAUUUUUCAUAUCUGGUCGUGAUCUUUCUGUGAUUCCUAUCUCCCUCAUAGCCUGUUAUAUUAUCAAAUUCCCCCAAAAAAUUACUGAGAUUUCUGAAGCUUAUAAAUUCACUUGAAACAAAGUAACAUCAUGUCAUUAAGUUAUAUAGAAUGAUAUAUCUUCCAUUAUUUGAAUCUUAUUUAAUACCUUUUAAUAAAAUUUGGAAGUUUGCAUCAUAAAGCUUCUAUGUAUUUCUUGGUAGCAUUAUUCCUAGGCAUUAGGUGAUCUUUGUGCUAGUUUAAGUGCUUUCCCUAUUACGUUUUCAGUAUUGCUCAACUGCUUAUAUAUGGCAAAGCUAUGAAUCUUAGCACAUUUCAUGAGAAUAGUCUUCUAAAAUCAUAAGUGUGUGUGUUGAGUUUUAUCAGUCAUGUUUCAGUAUUAAUUGAUAUUAUCAAGUUGUUUUGGCUCUCAUGGCAUGACCAAUCAGAAAAUUUCCCUCACACAAAACUGACCUUGAAUCCUUUAUAUAAACCUCAGUUUUGAAUUUAACCUUCAUGGUUUCAAAUUUUGCAUCCACAGCAUGGAGCAUAUACAUUUAUAAUUUUCCUAUUUGUGCUAUCAGUGAAAUUUUAAGAUCAGGAUUAAGCCAGCUUUAUAAAAUUGGAGUUUUUUUCCAUGUUUUUUUUAGCAUGGAAAUGACUUCUUCCUUAAAAGUUAAAAAUAACAACAGAAAUUUGUCUGGCCCUAGGAUAAAUUUUAAAAUAAAAUUCUUUAACUAUUUUUACAUUUCUUCCAUGUACAUUGAUUUGUUUGAAGUUUUUAUUCUUAGAUAAAUUUUGAAUUUUCCCAGUAAAACAUCUAUGUUAUUGAAAUGUUCCAUUUUUUCCUUAAAUUUAUUCUCUUAUAAUUGUAAAAUUCACUUUAUAAUUACAGCUGCUUACUUUUCUAAAUUUUUCUCCUUUUUGCUAUUUAAAAUAUAUGUUUAAUUGAAAUGCAAAAAAAAAAGUUUUAAAAAAGGUGGACAUGAUGCCAAUGUAAUUAAAGAAGUUCUAAUAUCAUACAGCAUUAUUAGGAAAGGAGAGAAACAAAAUUUGUAUUAAAUUUUAAUAA
rnacentral:lncRNA from 1 species